AAAGGUUUAGUUAAACCAUAACGCUAAUUUGUCAAAUUAUAAUUACCUUCAGGGUAGCCUUUA
rnacentral:tRNA from 1 species